GGACGUCCUCCGCUGGGGGAGGGGCGGGGCGGGGAGCGGGGGGCGGGCGGGGGGCGUGGUCCUGGGCGGCGGCCGGGAUGCAGGAUGGGAGGAGGCGGCGAUGCGGGAUGCGGGGCGCGCGAUGGCCCAGACCAGCCCAGCGGCCCCCGGGCUUGCGGACGGAGGAUGAUCGGGCUGCCGCGCAAGAAGCUGCAGAAACUGUUUCUCAGAAAGGUUACGAGGAGGGGCUCAUAACAUUUGGGAGCUGGAAGAGGUCUUAGAAAUCACACAGCCCAUACACUUCAUUUUCUAGAUGAAGAGACUGAGGGCCUGAGAAGUUGAAAUGCCUUGCCCAGGAUCACAGGGCCACCGUCCCCUGCCCUGAUCACCCCAGGGCCAGGUACCGACAGCUGGCGACAGCCCCGGGAAAGGUUCAGACUAGCCUGUGCUGAGCUUGCUCACCCAGCCGUGCCUGUUCCUUCGUGUGGAAACUGCAGUAAAGGCUCGCGUCCCCGCCCUCCUCCCGCCUCCUGACUGGCCGGCCUCCCUCCGUGGUCCUCCCCACACAGGGAGCCGGGGCCCUCCCUCCCUCUUAGGAGCUGUGGGUGACAAACCGUCUUCUCAGUGCUCCUUGCCUCCUGAUCCACCGGCCUGGCCAUACCUAAAUAAUAAUAAUGGAACCUGAACUGUGAAACACGGUUAGUUGUUUGUGACACUUUCAGCACGUAUGCUGUGGGCAAUGAGACGGUAGUAGGACCGAGUUCCUGUCAUUGAGAAACCGUACAGUCGCACGAGUGACUGCGAUGAAAGCAGAGCCCACACAGAUCGUGCGUUAAGGAGAGGCUGCGGCGCCGCGUGCCCUGCCCUGCGAGGGGCUGCGGUAGCUGAGGGCUGCGGGUCUGGGGGGCGCAUUGCCGGUGAAGUGCGCCGCUGCGCAGAGGCGUCUCCCGCAAGCUGGCUUCCUCAUCGUCGUGCGCCGGAUCACUAGGUUUCCGACGCCGAUCUGUCUUAAAAUUUCAGAGAAGUGAGCAUCUCCCAUCUUUUCACUGUUAACCCUCGAUAGCCCACGGGCAGAUCAGUCCUGGAUACUUUCCCAGUUUCGUCGACAUUGAGGACUGGUUCACACUCACACCGCCUGUAACAAUAACAGGAGCUUCGUGAUAAUCACGCAUCACGCUAACAGUCUACUGACUACACCCACGGAAUAAACUUCAGGAUUGGGCCCUGUGUAUCAGAGCAAGGUGCAGCUGGCGCAUGGAAGUACUUAGCUCCCGGCAGAAUACGUGAGGCUUGCCAUGAGGAUCAGGGAUGGGGCCUCGGCAGCCUCCCAAGUAAACCAUCCCCAAGAGCAUCGGUCCCUCUGGCCCAGAGUUCACCAAGACAUGAACCAACAGCAGCACAAAACUGUGGGGAGGAUAUGGUGGGGGGGGCGGUAAUCUCAACAGAUAGUAAACGCUCUCCAAGGCCAAGAAUCAUCCUCUUCUGCGAUAACCUUAUCAGUCGCUAUGGAUCUACCAUUCUGAGUUAAUUUAAAUACUUAAUAACUCAUCAAUAUUCUAUACCAGUGUCAUCUUUUGAAGUAACUCUCUCCCUACAGUUUUGCU